GUCUAUGACCAUACCACCCUGAAUGUGCCUGAUCUUGUCUGAUCUCAGAAGCUAAUCAGGGUUGGGCCUGGUUAGCAGUUGGAUGGCUGAAAUACUCU
rnacentral:rRNA from 1 species